GAGAUCAAACGGUCAAAAUCUGUCCUCGCUGGGGAGAGACAUUUAUAAGCUCCGGCGAACCUCCAUUGCUGAGGGUUACCUGGUGGAAAACCACAAGCGUAGAUAGUGAUCACACCUGUGAUCCCACCAAACACCGGCAAGCUGAUUCAUUUGAGAGGAGCCGACCACAGGCCAGCAAGACCCCCAAAGUCCAAGCUCAUCACGGCAAGCCGUGAGAGUUGAGGUGUUCAUGAUACUCAAACAGGCAUGCCCUUCGGAAUAGCCAAAGGGCGCAAGGUGCGUUCAAAGAUUCGAUGAUUCACUGAAUUCUGCAAUUCACAUUACUUAUCGCAUUUCGCUGCGUUCUUCAUCGAUGCGAGAGCCAAGAGAUCCGUUGCUGAAAGUUGUAUUUCAUUGCGUUAAACGCGACAUACAUUCCAUUAGACUUUAUUUCAAUGUGUGUGUGUGU
rnacentral:misc_RNA from 1 species